GACGAACGCUGGCGGCGUGCCUGACACAUGCAAGUCGGACGGUUCUUGCACCUUCAAGCUUGCUUGUUGGUUCAAGGAUAGUGGCGGACGGGUGAGUAACGCGUGAACACCUACCCAUUGGAGGGGUACAACCCGUCGAAAGGCGGGCUAAUACCGCGUAAGCCGUGAGGUGAAAGGCUGCUCUUUGGUGGCUGCCGAUGGAUGGGUUCGCGUCCUAUCAGCUGGUUGGUGGGGUAACGGCCUACCAAGGCUAAGACGGGUAGCCGGUCUGAGAGGAUGGCCGGCCACACUGGAACUGAGACACGGUCCAGACUCCUACGGGAGGCAGCAGUGGGGAAUCUUGGGCAAUGGGGGAGACCCUGACCCAGCGACGCCGCGUGAGGGAUGAAGGUCUUCGGAUUGUAAACUUCUUUGAUGAGGGACGAAUAAAGUGACGGUACCUACAAAAACAAGCCACGGCUAACUACGUG
rnacentral:rRNA from 1 species